rnacentral:rRNA from 1 species
UACGGAGGAUCCAAGCGUUAUCCGGAAUCAUUGGGUUUAAAGGGUGCGUAGGCGGGUAUAUAAGUCAGUGGUGAAAGCUCCGGGCUUAACUUGGAAACUGCCAUUGAUACUGUAUAUCUUGAAUGUCGUUGAGGUUAGCGGAAUGUUGCAUGUAGCGGUGAAAUGCUUAGAUAUGUUACAGAACACCAAUUGUGAAGACAGCUAACUAAGCGAUGAUUGACGCUGAGGCACGAAAGCGUGGGGAGCAAACAGG